AUAUGCUGCAACUCAUGCUUUGAGUAUAAUUUUAAGCCUUAAAAGUUAACAUGUAACUGUGUGUUUUUGUUUCUUUUUCUUUAGGCCUCGAAGUAGAGGAAAAACUACAAUGGAGGAUGAGGACAGCAUGGAUGGUUUGGAGACAACAGAAACAGAAAAUAUUGUGGAAACAGAAAUCAAAGAACAGUCUGCAGAAGAGGAUGCUGAAGCAGAAGUGGACAACAGACAGCCAAUUCCAGUAUUUCAGCGUUCUGUGUCUGAAGAAUCUGCUAGUUCCAUGGUCUCUGUUGGUGUGGAAGCCAAAAUCAGGUGAGAGAAUGAAUGCAGCUGGGUUGGAUAUUAGUGACAGAAAGAAUGGCAGUGAGUUGAAUAGAGAAAAUUCAGGAAGCGCAAGCUUAAGAUGUAAGUCUGUAUAGAAUUCUGUUACAGGUAGCUUUAAUUUGAGGCUGAUAGCUCCAUUUGUAGUUGGGGGAGGUAUUUCUGUGUGCUUAGGCUGUUGUAGUACAAAGGCAGUGUGCUAUUUCUAGCAGAAAAAAUAACUAUAAGGAUUAAUUUUUGGUGUUUACCUGUAUACUUAGAUUUAUACUCCCAUUCUUUACCUUCAGUCAUUCUUUAAAAAAAACACAGGAUAUUUAAGCCUAUCAAUGUAUAAUUCAGCUUUGAAGUCUUGUAUUUUUUAGCCUUUAUUUGAAAGAUAUGAAUAAAAUGAUGAAAUUAUCAAUUAGUUGAUUACUCCCAUCUUUUUGAAAUGUUUUCUUUCUUUUGCUUUUGACACCCUUCACUCUUUUUUCAUGUCUUUUGUAGGUUUUUAUUAGACUUUCUAUCUUUAUAAUGUUUGGAUCCUCAAGGCUCAGUCCUCAGAUAUCUUGACUAUUUCUCAUCUUUACUUGAAAGCUCAUUCAGUCUGAUAGUUAUUAUUCCUAUUUGUGUGCUGAUGAACCCCACAUUUGUAUUUCUAGUGCUGACCUUUACCUGAGCAGCAGACUUUCAUAUCUAUCUGUCAACUUGCCAUCUCCAUUUGGAAGUAUACUAGACACGUAAUCAAUACAUAUCCUCAACAAUUGUUAAUUCUGCCCCUACUCCUCCUCCAAAUUAAUGUCUUCCUGAGAUUCCCCAUUUUAGUAAAUACCAAUAUUCACUCAGUUGCUUAGACCAAAAACUUUGGAGUUAAUCCUUGAUUUCUAUCUUUUGUCAUAUUUCAUAUCCAGUUCAGUUCAUCAGUGUAUCUUGUAGCUCAGCAUCCAAAGUUAUCCUAAACAAUUUCUUACUGUCUUUACUUACCUACUUGUUAGUUCAAGCCACUGUUAUCCUUAGGAGACUCUCCCCUAACUAAUUUACUUCUCUUUACCUUUCCACAAUCCAGCUUGUUUUUAGAACCAUUGCAAAAACAUUGAUUCUAAAAUUUAAAUCGGCUCCCCCACACACCUUCUUUAAUGUUUGUCUAUUUUAUAUAUAUAAAUUAAGUGUCAAAUUGUAUUUAAAUUUCCAGAUCCUUACCAUUUCCUACAAAACAUGUUCUGGUCCUGGCUACAUCUCUAACUUCAUUUUGUUAGUCACAUUUAGCCUUCCUCAAACAUACUGAUCAUAUUUCUGUAUAAGGAUCUUAGAACUUGCUGUACUCUCUUUUGCACAGCUUAUUUCCCCAGAGAAGCUUUCCCUAACUCAUCUGUUUAUAAUAGUGUAGACACUCCUGAGAGGUAUCCUGAUGUCUCAACUUAGUUUCAGUCAGUUUAAGGUCUAAGUAAACGGUAUACAGGUAUUCAUUAUACUUGUUGCCUCCCCUCUCCCCUCCCCCCCCCUUUUUGGUAGAAUAGAGAGUAGGGUGAAAAGUAAAUAAAUCAGCAACAGCACUACAUUUUAUUCCAUAAUUCUUUAUUUUUUUCAUAGUACUUGCCAUUUCCUGACAUUUCAUUUAUUUGUCUUCCUUUGUAUCAUGUGAGCUUCAUGAAGGCAGGUGCUUAGUCUUUUGUACCUAGUCACUGAUAGAGUUUAGGUGCUAUAUAAAUAAUUUUUAGCAUAUAAAUGAAUAAUGGAUGAAGCCAUCAAUUUCAAAUAAUUGAAAAUUGACCUUUAUCUCAGAGUCUUUCAAAUUUGUUUUUUCAAAUACAGAAUAAGCUGGAAUUAGAAAUAAGAAGUAGAAAUUCAAAAUUAGAAUUACUUUAAAAUUGUUCUACUACUUAUAGCAUAAGCCUAUCUUUAACUUUUUUUUUUAAUGAUUUAUUUAUUUAUUUAUUUAUUUCUCUCCCCUUUCCCCCCACCCUGGUUGUCUGUUCUCUGUGUCUAUUUGCUGCGUCUUCUUCUUUUGUCCCCUUCUUUUGUUGUCAGCGGCACGGGAACCUGUGUUUCUUUUUGUUGCGUCAUCUUGUUGUGUCAGCUCUCCGUGUGUGUGGCACCAUUCCUGGGUAGGCUGCACUUUAUUUUGUGCUGGGUGGCUCUCCUUACCGGGCGCACUCCUUG
rnacentral:lncRNA from 1 species